rnacentral:rRNA from 1 species
UACGUAGGGUGCGAGCGUUAAUCGGAAUUACUGGGCGUAAAGCGUGCGCAGGCGGUUUUGUAAGCCAGAUGUGAAAGCCCCGGGCUCAACCUGGGAAUGGCAUUUGGGACUGCAAGGCUUGAGUGCGGCAGAGGAGACUGGAAUUCCUGGUGUAGCGGUGAAAUGCGCAGAUAUCAGGAGGAACACCGGUGGCGAAGGCGGAUCUCUGGGCCUUACCUGACGCUCAGGCACGAAAGCUAGGGGAGCGAACAGG